AUAUAUUUUAUCAUUUUAUAAUAUUAAAUUAAAAUUAUAAGAGAUCUGAAGUAAAAAUAAAAAAUUACAUAAACAAGUCGUCAAGUAUCGACAUCCGCAGAAGGAGAACAAGCUGGAGAAGAAGAGCACUCGAAAGAGCUCAGACCGAUCUACUGCUGCCUCAUCAGCUGCAUCAUCUGUUCUAUCUACACUAUCCACUCCAUCAUCUAGGUCUGAAGCAGUUGGUACUUAUUGAUGCGUGCAGCCAACUCAUCAGCUCACUGCUCAACCCACUGUCGAUCUUCAGUAGUCUACCUUUGCACCUCCACCAGUCGAGCAAUGCAGGCAGUAUGGAUAUCAGUCCUGGACGAACGUGAGGAUGAGGAAGCACUGAUCUCAUGCCCUAGACUCCUAACAUAAUAGGAUCUUGUACCAAGCAUCUGAA
rnacentral:lncRNA from 1 species